UUGUAAUGGGAUUUGAUCCUAGUUCUGGGUGAGCGCUUGGGGGGCGUAUUACACAUGCAAGUUGAACGCAGAUAUUUUUCUUUUUUUCUUUUUUUUUUUAAAAAAAAAAAGGGUAUAAAAGAAGAAUUUUAUUGGAUGAGCUCGUUGAAGAUUAGGUAGUUGGUAGGGUAAUUGCCAUACCAAGCCAGUUAUCUUUAGUCGUUAUUAUAGUUUGUGCGGCCACAAGGAGUCUGAGAAAACUCUUCCUUAGCAGCAGUGUAGAAUCUUGGACAAUUAACGCAAGUUAGAUCCAGCGAUCCCUCGGGAAUGAAGAAGGCUAUGGGAGCUGUAAACUAAUGUCAUAAAAUAAAAUAAUGAUUUUAUUUUUGUUAAGAAACACUGACUAAUCAUGUGCCAGCAGUCGCGGUAAGACAUGGGGUGUGAGCGCUAUCCACGUUGAUUGGGUGUAAAGGGUGCGUAGGUGGUUAAGAUAAUUUUUUUUACAGAGUUAUAAUAUAAACUUAUACUAGAAUAUAUAAGAAGAUGACGGUGCUGUUAAUUUAGCAUUAAAAUGCCAAGAAAUUAAUGGCAUCUCCUAAGGCCACGGCAGUUUUCUAUUAUAUAUUGACACUGAGGCACUAAAGUAUGGUAAUCGAACAGGAUUCGAGACCCUGGUAGUCCAUACCCUGAAUGAUGAGUAUUAAAUUUUUUAUAUUUUUAAGCUAACGCGUAAAUACUCCACCUGGGGAUAACAGUCGCAAGGGUAAAACUUAAAAGAAUUGGCGGGAAUUUAAUGAAACGGUGAAACACAUAUCUUAAUUUGAUAAUACACCAAAAACCUUACCAGUGUUAUAUAUAUUUAUAUAAAUUUUGCAUACGAGUAUAGAUAUAUACUGAGGUCCUGCAUGGCUGUCAUAGGUUCGUGUUGUGAGAUGUUAGGUUAAGUCCUAAACGAACGAAAUUCCUCCUACUUUGAGUGAUUUUAAGUAGGUAUUAUCUAGUUUUCUAUUAAACUAUUUAAUUAACAAAGGAUUUAAGUCAAGUCCGUAUGAGCUUAUAUACAUUGGGCUGAAUAUGUGUUACAAAGGUAGUUACAAUAAGAUACAAUAGUGAAAGCUGGAGUAAAACUUUAAAAAUUAUCAUAGUUCGGAAUAUUUUUUGAAAAAAAAAUAUAAAGAUGGAAUCGUUAGUAAUCGUAUAUUAGAAUGAUACGGUGAAUUAAAAGUUAAAUUUUGCACACACCGCCCAUCACGCUAGAAGAUUGAGGAAUAGUGAGAGCCAAGUCACUUUUAUUUUUAAAUAAUUUUUUUUUUGAAAAAGAUUGUUGCGAAUAAUAAACCGCUACCGUUAUUCCAACAGGUUAGAGCGAAGUUGAAACAAGGUACUGGUAGAAGAAUCUGCUUGUGGAGUAACUUAAAU
rnacentral:ncRNA from 1 species